rnacentral:rRNA from 1 species
GAUGAACGCUGGCGGCGUGCCUAAUACAUGCAAGUCGAGCGAACAGACGAGGAGCUUGCUCCUCUUACGUUAGCGGCGGACGGGUGAGUAACACGUGGAUAACCUACCUAUAAGACUGGGAUAACUUCGGGAAACCGGAGCUAAUACCGGAUAAUAUAUUGAACCGCAUGGUUCAAUAGUUCAAGACGGUUUUGCUGUCACUUAUAGAUGGAUCCGCGCCGCAUUAGCUAGUUGGUAAGGUAACGGCUUACCAAGGCGACGAUGCGUAGCCGACCUGAGAGGGUGAGCGGCCACACUGGAACUGAGACACGGUCCAGACUCAUACGGGAGGCAGCAGUAGGGAAUCUUCCGAAAUGGGCGAAAGCCUGACGGAGCAACGCCGCGUGAGUGAUGAAGGUCUUCGGAUCGUAAAACUCUGUUAUUAGGGAAGAACAAAUGUGUAAGUAACUAUGCACGUCUUGACGGUACCUAAUCAGAAAGCCACGGCUAACUACGUG